ACAUUAUCUUUACAGGACUAUUGGAGGGCAAGUUCUGGUGCCAGCAGCCGCGGUAACUCCAGCUCCAAUAGCGUAUAUUAAUGUUGUUGCGGUUAAAACGUUCGUAGUUGAACUUGUGCUUCAUACGGGUAGUACAACUAUAAUUUUAGAUUGUGCUAUACCUUAUGUAUGUAAGCGUAUUACCGGUGGGGUUCUUAUAUGCAAAUGUAAUACUUGUAUUCUUUUGUAUAUUCCUCCUAUUUAAACCUGCCUCAAUGCUCUUCAUCGGGUGUUGUUGCGGGCCGGUACAAUUACUUUGAACAAAUUAGAGUGCUUAAAGCAGGCUCCAAAUGCCUGAAUAUUUUGUGCAUGGAAUAAUGGAAUAAGACCUCUGUUCUACUUUCAUUGGUUUUUAGAUCAAGAGGUAAUGAUUAAUAGAAGCAGUUUGGGGGCAUUAGUAUUACGACGCGAGAGGUGAAAUUCUUGGACCGUCGUAAGACUAACUUAAGCGAAAGCAUUUGCCAAAGAUGUUUUCAUUAAUCAAGAACGAAAGUUAGAGGUUCGAAGGCGAUCAGAUACCGCCCUAGUUCUAACCAUAAACGAUGGCCAGCUA
rnacentral:rRNA from 1 species